GGGGCGGGCGGGGCCGCCUUGCCCAGGACAAGAGGGCUUUGUGUCUCCGUGAAGGGAAGGAUCCAUUCAAAUGGAGCAACUACCAAUCUACUGGAGGAAUUUAACGGAUCGAGCGGGAUCAGUGGAGGUAAAGGAAUUGACGACGUAUCAGGUCGAACCCGAUGUCUUGUUGAGCUGUAUGCAAAAACUAUGUAUUUCACUGUACAUGGUACACGUGACAAUAAAGAAACAAUUGAACCCUG